AGAGUUUGAUCAUGGCUCAGAUUGAACGCUGGCGGCAUGCCUUACACAUGCAAGUCGAACGCGAAAGGGGGGCAACCCCCGAGUAGAGUGGCGAACGGGUGAGUAAUACAUCGGAACGUACCCAGUAGCGGGGGAUAACCUCUCGAAUGAGAGGCUAAUACCGCAUACGACCUACGGGUGAAAGAGGGGGAUCGCAAGACCUCUCACUAUUGGAGCGGCCGAUGUCGGAUUAGCUAGUUGGUGGGGUAAAAGCCUACCAAGGCCACGAUCCGUAGCUGGUCUGAGAGGACGGCCAGCCACACUGGAACUGAGACACGGUCCAGACUCCUACGGGAGGCAGCAGUGGGGAAUUUUGGACAAUGGGCGAAAGCCUGAUCCAGCCAUGCCGCGUGAGUGAAGAAGGCCUUCGGGUUGUAAAGCUCUUUCGGCUGGGACGAAAAGGUCCGUGCUAACACCACGGAUCCAUGACGGUACCAGCAGAAGAAGCACCGGCUAACUACGUGCCAGCAGCCGCGGUAAUACGUAGGGUGCAGGCGUUAAUCGGAAUUACUGGGCGUAAAGCGUGCGCAGGCGGUUUGCUAAGACAGGUGUGAAAUCCCCGGGCUUAACCUGGGAACUGCGCUUGUAACUGGCAAGCUUGAGUGUGGCAGAGGGGGGUGGAAUUCCACGUGUAGCAGUGAAAUGCGUAGAGAUGUGGAGGA
rnacentral:rRNA from 1 species